rnacentral:lncRNA from 1 species
GCAGAAUAUAGCACAUUCGAAUCACCACAGAAAGCCCGGCUGGACAGGGCUGGCUUGCAGCAUGAAGUCUGUCUUCUCUCCCUUGUUUUUUGGCCACUCCACGUGGCAGGUGGGAUCCCAGUACCUGGAGCAGGGACUGAACCAGUGCCUCCUGCAGUGGAAGCGUGGCGUCUCAAGCUCUGGACCACCCGGGAAAGUCCAAAGUCCCCCUUCUCUUAAAGUGAGGCUCUUCUGCAGUCUGUCCUUGAGCUGAGCCUCUGGGAUGUUCAGCUAUAUGUGAUGAACAGCUGCUGUGACUAAGGUCGCUGGGUGGGUGCAGGCGUGACCCGGAUCAAUGCCUGCUGUCCUCCCAUGUGGCCUCGUGAGACCAAAUGGCUGGGUCUGGGGCUGCUGGUAAAGGUGGCAGACCAAGCUCCCUCCAGCGGACGACAAGCGGCAACAAGUGUCUGAAGGCCCUGGAGAGCCACCAAAAGCAGGCGACAAGGAGGGGAGUCAGUACUCGAGUGACUUUUCCAUGGGGCUCUGCUGAUGGUGGACUCCAGCCUCUGCCAAGGGGGACAAUGAAAAUCCAGACGAAGUGAAAGUGUCAGUUGGUCAGUUGUGUCCGACUCUCUGCGACCCCAUGGACUGUAGCACACCAGGCUNNNNNNNNNNNNNNNNNCUCCAGGCAAGAAUACUGGAGUGGGGAGCCAUUCCCUUCUCCAGGAGAUCCUCCCAACCCAGGGUCUCCGAACCUGGGUCUCCUGCAUUGGCAGGAGGAUUCUUUACCAUCAGAGCCACCAGGGAAGCCAGACAGAAAACCUGAAAUCUUACUGACUUAAAGAGCCAGAAAACAGAGUUUGGAGGGACUGCAAAUCGUCGGAGUGCGAGGGUGGGAAUCCCAGAAAGGAGAGUCAGUGGAAGCAGACUCAAAUUCUGUGUAUAAACUGUGCCCAAAGCAUUGGCCAACCUGUGAAAUAUCCAAGCACGGGCCUCUCUAAGCAGCUCAACAAAGGUUAGAAGAACUGAAAAGAGAUUUCUGCUACUGGCCACCACAUGGGAGACAAAGUUUGGAGCUUGAGUCCAGCCAAAUUAACCAUUUUCGUUUGCUUUUAAUCAAUGCACUGGAGGGUAACAUAACAAAAUCCGAAGUUUUUACAACACA